GAUGAACGCUGGCGGCGUGCUUAACACAUGCAAGUCGAACGGUGAACGAGGGAGCUUGCUCCCUCCGGAUCAGUGGCGAACGGGUGAGUAACACGUGAGCAAUCUGCCCCGAACUCUGGGAUAAGCGUUGGAAACGACGUCUAAUACCGGAUACGACGCGCGAAGGCAUCUUCUGCGCGUGGAAAGAGCUUCGGUUCGGGAUGAGCCCGCGGCCUAGCGGCUAGUUGGUGAGGUAACGGCCCACCAAGGCGACGACGGGUAGCCGGCCUGAGAGGGUGACCGGACAGACUGGGACUGAGAGACGGCCCAGGAGCCUACGGGAGGCAGCAGUGGGGAAUCUGGCACAAUGGGCGCAAGCCUGAUGCAGCGACGCCGCGUGAGGGACGACGGCCUUCGGGUUGUAAACCUCUUUUAGUAGGGAAGAAGCGAAAGUGACGGUACCUGCAGAAAAAGCACCGGCUAACUACGUGCCAGCCGCCGCAGUAAUAC
rnacentral:rRNA from 1 species